GAGAGGAAGGUCCCCCACAUUGGAACUGAGACACGGUCCAAACUCCUACGGGAGGCAGCAGUGAGGAAUAUUGGUCAAUGGACGAGAGUCUGAACCAGCCAAGUAGCGUGAAGGAUGACUGCCCUAUGGGUUGUAAACUUCUUUUAUAUGGGAAUAAAACAGGGUAUGCAUACCCUCUUGUAUGUACCAUAUGAAUAAGGAUCGGCUAACUCCGUGCCAGCAGCCGCGGUAAUACGGAGGAUCCGAGCGUUAUCCGGAUUUAUUGGGUUUAAAGGGAGCGUAGGUGGAUUGUUAAGUCAGUUGUGAAAGUUUGCGGCUCAACCGUAAAAUUGCAGUUGAAACUGGCAGUCUUGAGUACAGUAGAGGUGGGCGGAAUUCGUGGUGUAGCGGUGAAAUGCUUAGAUAUCACGAAGAACUCCGAUUGCGAAGGCAGCUCACUAGACUGCAACUGACACUGAUGCUCGAAAGUGUGGGUAUCAAACAGGAUUAGAUACCCUGGUAGUCCACACAGUAAACGAUGAAUACUCGCUGUUUGCGAUAUACAGUAAGCGGC
rnacentral:rRNA from 1 species